UACAGAGGUCUCAAGCGUUGUUCGGAUUUACUGGGCGUAAAGGGCGCGUAGGCGGCCUGCUAAGUCGGACGUGAAAUCCCUCGGCUCAACCGGGGAACUGCGUCCGAUACUGGUGGGCUCGAAUCCGGGAGAGGGAUGUGGAAUUCCAGGUGUAGCGGUGAAAUGCGUAGAUAUCUGGAGGAACACCGGUGGCGAAGGCGGCAUCCUGGACCGGUAUUGACGCUGAUGCGCGAAAGCCAGGGGAGCAAACGGG
rnacentral:rRNA from 1 species